UUGACCUCGGAUCAUGUAGGGAUACCCGCUG
rnacentral:rRNA from 1 species